GAGCCGGUAGCUCAGUUGGUAGAGCAUCUGACUUUUAAUCAGAUGGUCGUGGGUUCGAUUCCCCCCCGGCUCACCA
rnacentral:tRNA from 2 species